CAAUAGCGUAUAUUAAAGUUGUUGCAGUUAAAAAGCUCGUAGUUGGAUUUCUGGUUGAAGCGACCGGUCGGGCGUUGAUUCGUCUGCACUGGAGUCGGUUUUGGCCAUCCUCUAGGAAAGUGCGUCUGGUAUUAAGUUGUCGGGCGUAUGAUCCUGGUCUUUUACUGUGAAAAAAUUAGAGUGUUUAAAGCAGGCCUUCGCCUUGAAUACAUUAGCAUGGAAUAAUAAGAUAGGACUUUGGUCUAUUUUGUUGGUUUGCAGACCGAAGUAAUGAUUAAUAGGGAUAGUUGGGGGUAUUUAUAUUCCGAUGUCAGAGGUGAAAUUCUUAGAUUUUCGGAAGAUAAACUUAUGCGAAAGCAUUUACCAAGGAUGUUUUCAUUA
rnacentral:rRNA from 1 species